rnacentral:lncRNA from 1 species
AAUCAGGAAAACUCAUACAAAUAUCCAGAGAAGCAGAAAUUCAAAAUGGCCGUUUUAGCAUUCAAUUACAAAAAUAAACGACGGGCAAUAAUUACUAACCUAACAGUUCCUCCGCUAUCAUCAUUGACUUUAGAACAUAAUAACUAUGCAUAUAAUGUAAUUAAGUAGAAAACAGCCACGAAUUGGAGAAGUCCAUAAACGACAUUUUAAGUCAUACACAAGCCAAAACAGUAAGUUGAGAUGACUGCAAAACAAAAAGAUUAUGUUCCCCAACCCAACCUUACAGUGAUUUAGACACAUUCAAAUUCAAACAACAAUCAUUUUAAGAAAGUAAGUUUUUAUGCCCACUCUAUUCUUAGCUCGAAACAGACUCGGGAACAAUGCUUUACAAGCAUAAAGACGUACUAAUU